UCUUCUCUACUGGUACAGAGGCAAGCGAUAGUGGAGCAAAGUGGCUAAAUAUGAAACUGAUCGUAGUGAAGAAGGAUUUGUACCUCAAACCACAGCUGAAUAUUCAGUCUGCAAAGCAUAAAUUGAUUGCUUUACUGGAUUGUUGUGCUAGCAGUUAAUGUGUUGUGUGACUUUGAAUAGCAGCUCAUACUGUUUCAGAUGUAAACAGUUUGCAUUAAAAACAUCUCAAUGAAUGGGAGAGAAAUAGUUUCUCUGGGAACACUCAAAUUAUAACUUAGGUUAACCUUACAUUGAAGAGAAGGUCAAUGUGCUGUCUCUUUCCUGGCAUCUCUUGCAAACCCCACAGUUCAUCUCUACUCUCUAGUGCUGUUGGUUUUAAAAUACCAAAGUCAUUCUGGGGAACUUGAGGGCUUUUUUUAUUAGCAGUUCUGUUAAUUUACUUGUGAUUUUUUUUGAUAACUGAGAAGACUCCCUGUGAAAAAAUACAGCAGUCUCAGUUCCAGCUUUCAUCUGCUCUGACUGCUGAUAAUUCCCUGCCUGUGAUGGCAUAAUUAGUACAGUAACCACUGUGAUGCUAUGUUCAGGAAGAUGAUGUACCUGUGCAAUGCAUACAUCAGGGUUGAAAUGAUACCUUCUGAUGAACAGGACUACAUAUACUCUGUAAACAUGCAAGUAUAUUUAGUUAGUAUUAAUUUUUUUAUUUCAUGUCAAGAUCUAGAAAGCAUUUCUUGUCAAGUCUGAAAAUGAAGACAGAAAAUCCAUAUGCAAAUAACAGGAAAAGUAGCAGUUGGAAAAUAGAACGGAGAAGCAAAAUCCUAUCAUGCAGAGGUUUAAAGGUCACCAAGAUUUUGAACCCUAUGGCUGUUUCUUUAAGUCCUGAUGCAGAAUUAUGAAGACAGGAAUAUGGAUUUAUUACAUGAGUUUCUUGAUGAUAGUUACAAAUCUUUGCAGAGUGAUGGAUGUCCUCUGUUGUGCUUUACCGUUAAGCUGAAUUCUCAUGUGGGAGAUGAUGUGAAGGUUCAUGCUAAGCACAACAAAAAGCUAUUGCAAGGUUUCUCCCCCAACACAAGGAGUGAGAGUUCAUUGAGUUCAGCGACAGAGUAGAUACUUGCCAGGGAAAUAUUGAGAGUUUUGAAGUGAAAUACAAUGCAGAACACAGUGUGAAGAGUGGUGGCUCCUGCAAGCAUCUGGAAACCUGGAUCACAAUCAAGAAGUGACAUAAUUCAACUCUCUGUGAGAAUUCAAAGGCUGCAUCAGAAAAAUCCCAGCCCCCAUUUAUCUGGUUUUACAGCCACACUGCUCUAUUUGUCCCUCAUUGCCAUGUAGCAAGCCUACUCAGAAAUGACAAGUAGACCAUAGAGAAACUGGC